CUGAUACAUAACUGCCUUAAUAGUCACACUUACAGGCAUAUGAUUAAUGUCUAACAGAAAUACUAAAAAUGCUUCGACUUGUGACAGCACUUUGCGUUCUGCUCUGGAUACCAAAUUUUUGCAGUGCCAUCUCAGUAAAACAGUCACCGAGGUUUAUGAUUAAAAAGCCUGGAGAGCCCGCUCUGCUUUCCUGCGUGCAUGACGGUGGUAGCAGCUAUGACUACAUCUACUGGUAUCAACAGCUUAGGGGUCGUGGUGGGCUGCAGCUCAUGACCUACUCCUACACCAACAGCGAACCCCAGGAUGAAAAGGAGUUCAAAGGAAGACUGGCCACUACCAGAGACGGUGCAGAGAAAGGCAACAUCACAAUCAACAGCCUAGACGUUACCGACACUGGAAUGUAUUUCUGUGCAACAAGCUAUGCACAGCGAAGCAGCUCCCAUAGAGACCUAACAGAAAACUCCCCGCUGAUACUGCUAGUAAAUAAGUUUGUGCCCCAUGCCAAAUACCUUACAAGCACAAGAGCAUACUGAGCUGCUGUACCUCUCAAAUAUUCCUGAUUUUCCGUGGUGUCUCUGAGUUUGGUUCAGAAUUUUCCUUUUUCUCUCCUAAAAUUCAAUAGAUACUUUGAGAAAAAGAAAGCUACACUCAAUACCGAAUUAACUUCUUUUACUUCUGAAAUGCAUGCUAAUUGCUGUACUCUCGCUUUGUCACUUUCUAAAGCAUCGGUAUUAGUAUUUGAUGUGUGUCUUUGAUUUCAGGUCUUUAUCCCUAACUAUUUUUGGUUUUGUGAGAGGUCGAGAGCUAUGAUUGCAUCUAUUGUUUAAAAAGUUAUUGUAUCGAGACAGGAUUGUACUUAUUACAACACCAAAUAUAUAAAGAAGCUUCAGUGUGAAA